rnacentral:rRNA from 1 species
UACGUAGGGUGCGAGCGUUAAUCGGAAUUACUGGGCGUAAAGUGUGCGCAGGCGGUCUCGCAAGUCAAGUGUGAAAGCCCCGGGCUCAACCUGGGAACUGCAUCCGAAACUGCCUUGCUCGAGUAUGGGAGAGGGAAGUGGAAUUUCCGGUGUAGCGGUGAAAUGCGUAGAUAUCGGAAGGAACAUCAGUAGCGAAGGCGACACUCUGGGCCGGUACUGACGCUGAGGAGCGAAAGCGUGGGGAGCAAACAGG